GUCUGUAUGGCUCAGUUGGUAGAGCAUGGUGUUUGCAACGCCAGGGUUGUGGGUUCGAUUCCCACGGGGGACC
rnacentral:tRNA from 1 species